AGUAGUUGUCAUACUUGUCAAAUGUCUGUAGUCUGCACAAUUAAAGGCCUGUGGGGAGAAGUUGGGGAGGGGGGAGCACUGUUUGAAAGAGAAUUUACAAUGAAAGAGAGUCUUCUCUUAAACAAUCAACAGGACACUAAUGAGAACUCUCCCUGUGGUUCUGACGCUCUCCCAAGAAGCAAAAGACAAAAGGUUUCAUUGUUAUCUGCCUGUUAUCUUACAAUUCUUCCAAGUCACUCUGUAAGAAGGCUGAAACACAGAGCAUGUAACAAGGUUCUGUGACUUCUUCAAAAGAGGUAUAAGUGAGGUUCAAAACAGUUUUGUCAUUUGGUUAGUUUGACCUAAGUGGUAAUGAACAGCUUCUUCCAAGUGUUCUUGAUUACAGUAGAAUCAAUGUUAAUUUUUAUAAGCAGUUGUUGUGCUAAUUUAUAAAAUGCAAAUGAAGUGAUGUGGCUUGAUUCACAGAAAGGUGGAGCUCAAAACUACAGCUGUUAAUUUGAACAACACCCAAACACCUUUUGCAACAACUGACUUCAGGUUACAUGAUAAAGACAAAGUUCUAUGAGGGUGUCACAAUGUCUUGCUUUUUUCCUUAAAGUCUCUUAUUUUCUUCACAUUUUGCUGUUCAUUAGUUUUUACUCUCUGGGAGAGAAGAAAAGUGUUUUAGUUGGUUGGGUUUUGUUUUCUUUGGUGCUGUUUAACCGGAAUGGAAAAGGUGUUUUUGCUAAAAACCUCACUUGUAAACUUUUUUCAAUAGAGAAGACAGACACAUUUUCUUAUCUUAAAAAUAAAACAGAAACAUCACCAAAAAAAAAAUAAUCA
rnacentral:lncRNA from 1 species